ensembl:lncRNA
AAAAAAAAAAAAAAAGAAAAAAAAAAAAAAAGAACGUUGUUUUGGCGGAAAAUUAUUUUUAUAUUUAUAUAUACAUAUUUUAUAUAUGCAUUCUUACUAAUUGUGUUAGUUUUGUACCAUUUCGUUAUUUUUUUUUAUUUUUUAUUUUUUUUUUAUGAUUUUAUAUAUAUAUUUUUCUUUAAAACUGUUACUCAUUUCCAACACCGUUUGUUUUUUAAAUAUAUAUUUUGAAACAUUUUGUUUUCUUUUAUUAUUGGUAAAUAGUUUUCUGCAUAUAACUGAUUACUCUAUGUUUGUUCGUCACUGAUAUUUGACUUAUAUAUAUAUCUACGCUUGUACACAUAUAUGUUGUUAUAGCAUAUAAUUUUUAUAUGUUACUUUUACUUGAGAAAAGCACAUCCGCGUGUUUACUAUAGUAAUUAUUUAUAUUAUGUCAUUUAGUUUUAUUCAUAUUGUAUUGUAUGAAAUGCAAUAUAUAUAUUUUUUUUUAAAGUAAUCUAUUAUACAUAGAAAAUGUAUUUAUUUUAAAAGCGAAAAAUGUACACUUCAUAUUUCCCAACAAAACUUUUUUUUUUUUUUUUUUUUUUUUUUUUUUUUUUUAAAAGUUUAUAUGACUAUAUUAUGACAUUCAUUAAAAAAAAAAUUAAAAUAUAUUAAAAUAAAUUCAUAAAAUCACGCAUUUGUGAAUACAGUGUUAACUUUGAAUACACCAUUUUCUGAAAAUAUUAUAUUUUAAAUUUUACCACAAUGACAAGUAAUAAAGAAACAAAGGAUAGAUACGUAGAUUUAUUUGUUUACACAGACCCUGAAUUAUGUGACGAAGAGAAUUUAUUUGAAACUAAGCAAGCACCAUGGUUCUAUCACCUAAAACAUCUGCUUGAACUAAAAAGAGAAGAUUUCAUAAAAAUAAAAAACAUGAUCGAAGAUGAGAAAAAAAAAAAGAAAAAAAAAUGUCACAUAUUGGAAAUAAUAGAUAAUAACAAUUUAAGUAAUAUGAUGAUAAAUUUUAAAGAUAGUUUGGAAAAUGUAUUGUCUGUUUAUUUACAUUCUUGUAAUAAGUUUUUAAAAGAGUAUUCAAAGAAUGACAACAGUAAGGAACAUGCGCAUUUUGUUUUUGUUAUUGGGAAUAUCACAGCCGAUUUAGAUUCUGUUUGUUCGGCUAUAAUGUACAGUUUUUUUUUAUACAUAUGGGAUUGCUUAAAAUGUAAAAUUACAAAGGGAAUGAUAUCUCAAAAGUUAAAGUUUUUUAUACCUGUUAUUAAUAUUAAAAAAAGUGAUAUGAAGAUUAAACAUUUGACAAGCUGGUGGCUACAAAUGUGUAAUCUUAAAAAACCGGAAGAAAUUUUAAUAUUUAAUGACAAUGAUAAUUUAUUGAAUGUUUUAAAGAAUAACAAAAGGUAUCAAAUAUGUUUGGUUGACUUAAAUGAAAUUGUACCUAAUAAUUUGUACAAUAUAAAUAAUAUAAAAUCGAUAAUUGACCAUCAUAUAAUUAAAAAAGAAGAUAUAUCUAAAAAUAUAACCAAAUCAAUUUAUCCUAUAUGUGUGUGUAGUUGUAUGGUUAUUAUAGCUUAUUUAUAUAAAUUUUCGAGCAAGUAUCUCAAUAUACCCUUUAUUAAUAGAUCUAUGAUGUGGCUAGUAUAUGGAACCAUUUUAAAAGAUUCAAACAACUUUAUAGAAAAGGAUUUUCAGAAACGAUGGAUACUAGCGGAUUUAAAAAUAUUUGUAUCUUUGAAAGAAUACUUUAGAAUACCAAAACAAAUGGACAUAUAUAUCACAUACAUGUUCAACGUUAUUAGAUUUACCAUUGAUUUAAAAAAAUAUAAUAUAGAAAAUUUAUUAUUCGUCGAUUACAAAGACUAUCAUUAUGGAAUUUUAAAAAAAAAAAUAAAAAUAAGAGCGGCAUCAAUAGAUUUUAGUAUAGAUCUUUUAAUUACCCACAACGACAAUAAAAACCUCACUGACAAAAUGUGUGAGUUGUGCGACGAAAAAAACAUAUCUCUUUUUAUAUUAUUGGGAUCUUAUUUAAAAAACUUUAAACUAUUUAAAGACAUGGGUAUUUUGUUUUAUAAUGAUGAUAUAAAAGCAGAAGAAUUAAUGAAUGCCUUGUUGAAGGAAGUUGAUGCAAAACUUACGAAAAAAAAAAGCACAAAUGUAAUUUGGGAAACAAAUUCUAAAAACUUUGAAAUAUAUCAAAUAAACAACGCAAGUUAUUCAAGAAAAAAGUUAGAGUGUUUUUUAAAUGAAUAUAUGAAUAAAUAUUACAAAAAUUAA